UACAGAGGGGGCAAGCGUUAUUCGGAAUUAUUGGGCGUAAAGGGCGCGUAGGCGGCCUGGAAAGUGGAAGGGGAAAUCCCUCGGCUUAACCGAGGAACUGCCCUCCAAACUGCUUGGCUUGAGUCCGGGAGAGGUGAGUGGAAUUCCCGGUGUAGUGGUGGAAUGCGUAGAGAUCGGGAGGAACACCAGUGGCGAAGGCGGCCGGCUGGGGGUGACCUGACGCUGAGGCGCGAAAGCGUGGGGAGCGAACCGG
rnacentral:rRNA from 1 species